UUGACUCCCUAGCCUGCUGCCUCCCUCAAGCCCUCGCCUCAACGAGGUUCAACCUCCAUGAAGCAAGGGCCUUGGUUUCUCAGCAUCCCGCACGCUUCGCCACAACCUCGCACAAAAAGUCGCAUCCUCAUCCUCCACCUCCUCUUAUUCCCACCCCUCCUGAGGUCGUCACUACCGGUCUACGCAGGAUUUGGAGGACACGAUGGCCCUCCCCAAGCGUGCGGCCCUCCCCGAGCUCGUGGUGGUCAGCGGCAGCGGUAGCCCUCCCCAAGGUCGCGGGCUCACAGCAACCGAAUCCGGUGGCAACGACCCUCCCCAAAUUCGUGGCAGCCAAACCUUGUGCUCCACCGGACUCCGGCCUCCCAAACCCUAGCGCCGCGCUCCGCUCCUCGAGUUUCUGAACGGCUGCGAGUUAGAAGAAUUUGUUGAGGUGUACAUGUAUCUAAUUUGAUAUGUGCUUUCCUUUGGCAAUGAUGGACAACUAGGAACGUACAUUAACUCUGGGGUCGUCGGCUAUUGGAAGAUAAAUUCCAAUACUUGGUGCAGCUGUCGGAAGAUAAAUUCCAAUACUUGGUGCAGUCUAUGUUAUGGCAGUGCAAAAAAUUGAGAAACAAACAGUUAUACUUGUGUACAGAUGGGGAACCAAUAGUUCCUUUUGUGAAGAUCAACUGGGAUGCGUGGUUCCUGCAGCAAAACAAAACAGAGGGCUAGAGCUUCAACUUCAGAAUUUGUGAAGACAUUCAUUUUUGCUGGUGCUGGGAAUUUACCCCAUGUUGCAAGAUGCCAUACAUGUAGAACUGGAGAGCUGCAUACAUGUUAUAAGCUGCAACUGAGCUUGGCUUAGGCAAUUGAUGCUCUCCUGGUGAAGCAAGCAACGAAGAGCGAUGCAUAUGACCUAUCAAUCUAUGGAAAUAAAUAUUAUUCAGAAGCAAAGAAGCUAUUGCGUGCUUGUUUUACUCAUAUUCAUCUUUCUUGUUGGAAGCGUGAUUAUAACAUUGUAAUCCAUAAAUUAGCAGGUAUUAGAUUUAUGAUGGAGUCAGCCACAGCUAUAAGUUGGCUAAUUAUGUUCCUGAUCGUAUUUCAGUUAUGGUGGCAAGUGAUUCUGCUGUGAAUCUUGAUGAAGUAUACUCAUUUUAUGCAGUCAUGUUUUGUUGAAACUUGAAUUGAUGACGCUGAAUUAUCUGUUCCCACU